CUCUCUCGGAGGACCUGAGCCCUAGGACCAUGCCUCAGGACUACCUGGCUUGAUGACUCCUUGCUGUCCCCAGUUCACCUGGCCGUGCUGCUGCUCCAGUUCCAACUGUUCUGCCUGCAGCUAUGGAACCCUGACCUGUGCACGUUCCGCAACAAAUUAUCUUCACAAUAGACAAACAUAGGCUCAUUCUGUUCAGAACAACCCAGGGUGUGAGUCCAUGUCAUCUUGUAACUCUACAUUUGCAUUUUCGUCAUUUUGCAGACGUUGUUAUCCAGAGCAAUUUACAUGAGCAAUUAGGAUUAAGUGCGUUGGCUGGGUGGUUACUCAAAAACUGUCAUUGUUUUGCUGAGAUUGAAGAGAGUUGACAAAGUGUAGGGUGUUGACGAGUUUGUGUAUACUCUUUACUAUACUAUCAAUCUGUGAACCCCUUUGAAUAAAAUGGCUGGCGUGAAGAUGAAUGUUUAAAGGAAGGGCUGGUACUUGGCUUUGGCUUGAGACAGAGCAUGUCUUAAAGAAUAGCCAUUUAUAAAAUAGGGCAGGGACCCUUGGGAAGUACUGUGUGUUAUUUUGGGAGAAUACAUCCAAAUGGGAGUGCUACUGGUACAGCAAGGGCAUGGAGAGACAGCUCUAAGUGUGAAAUUGGCACCUGGUAUACAUAGAAGACAUCUUUCUUUUGACAUGUAAUGGCCAACAUCUUGUUUACAGAGACCACAAAAGACAAAGACAACAAAAUACACACGUUGGUUAAUACAGUGUUAUUUGUUUCUUUUUUUGGUGACCAAAUGUUUAAUUAUUUGUCAUUUUUUAUUAGGGGGGGUUGUUACAGGUACAAUCUUAAAAUAUAUGUAUUUUCAUAUAUUCAGUCCAUAUCACAUUUUCAUGUAUUAUUUUCCAUAUAUAUAUAUUUCUGUUGUACCUUUGGCCUGCCACUCAGGAAAAAAAAGAAGAGAAUAUAUAUAUUCUAGGUCUGAUGGGGAUGGAUGCGUUUUCUCAAUUGGAUUUGCUCAACUGCUGCGUCCUCUCUAUUCUAUCUUUUCUUUGCUUCCUUUUGAAGAAGGUCAAAAGUCAUCAAGGAAAGGCGGUGAGGAGAGGGAACAUAGACAUAAUGCGCUUGUAUGCAAUGAGACUUCCUUCUCCACUCGAGCGUCAUCAGGUAUAUUACGUUUACAGCGGUGGUACCCAAAAUAAAUGUGUAAACUGAUCAAAUGAAUUAAGUUAGUUGUGCAAGACAUUUUAUAGAUAAAACCUAUAUGCUACUUAUCGUUUUAAAUGUGUGCAUGCUUUUCUCCUUCGACAAAACAAAAGCUAAUUCAAAUGGGGUGUGGCAGAUUUCAAAAUUCUUCCACAAAGGACUCAGGUAGGAUACACAUUACUAGCCUCGAUGAAAGGUGGCUAUCAAGUAGGGGAGGACACUGUUCCAUUCGUCUACCAACGAAUUGAAAUCGCCUCGACCACUUAUCGGUUUCCGUGUCACGGUGGAGAGAGGACAGAGGAGAGAGGACGGAGGACAGACUUUUGCCCAAAUGAGAAAAGGCCGGAGUCUGCCCUACCCCGCUUC
rnacentral:lncRNA from 1 species